rnacentral:lncRNA from 1 species
CACCUGCCUGAAAUCAAUAUGCUCAAGUCAAACGCAUUUGCCUGCAUCUGAAUGUGGAGAAUGAACUUCUUAAAGCUGAACUGGCAGCUGGAAGUGGAGAGAGAAGAGCUGGACAGGGAGCCAGGACACCGGAGUUCUUUUCCACUGUGGUGGGAUCUGGAAGAAGCUGUUGAAUCUCUGUAGAGUUAUCUUUUAAAUGCUCUUGAAUUCUCAGGCAGUGAAUGCACUACCGUGUGCAGAAGGCAAGGACAUGGCUGAGCAUGUUGUUUUCUUCACCUUAUAUGGAGCUUCCUUAACAGGUCUGUGCCAAGGUCUUUUCAUUCUGAAUCACUUGAGCU